rnacentral:rRNA from 1 species
UACAUGGGGUGCAAACGUUGCUCGGAAUUAUUGGGCGUAAAGAGCUCGUAGGCGGCUUGUCGCGUCGACCGUGAAAACUUGGGGCUUAACCCCGGGUCUGCAUUCGAUACGGGCAGGCUAGAGUGUGGUAGGGGAGAUCGGAAUUCCUGGUGUAGCGGUGGAAUGCGCAGAUAUCAGGAGGAACACCGAUGGCGAAGGCAGAUCUCUGGGCCGUAACUGACGCUGAGGAGCGAAAGCGUGGGGAGCGAACAGG